GAUGAACGCUAGCUACAGGCUUAACACAUGCAAGUCGAGGGGCAUCAGGAAGAAAGCUUGCUUUCUUUGCUGGCGACCGGCGCACGGGUGAGUAACACGUAUCCAACCUGCCCUUUACUCGGGGAUAGCCUUUCGAAAGAAAGAUUAAUACCCGAUAGCAUAAUGAUUCCGCAUGGUUUCAUUAUUAAAGGAUUCCGGUAAAGGAUGGGGAUGCGUUCCAUUAGGUUGUUGGUGAGGUAACGGCUCACCAAGCCUUCGAUGGAUAGGGGUUCUGAGAGGAAGGUCCCCCACAUUGGAACUGAGACACGGUCCAAACUCCUACGGGAGGCAGCAGUGAGGAAUAUUGGUCAAUGGGCGUUAGCCUGAACCAGCCAAGUAGCGUGAAGGAUGAAGGCUCUAUGGGUCGUAAACUUCUUUUAUAUAAGAAUAAAGUGCAGUAUGUAUACUGUUUUGUAUGUAUUAUAUGAAUAAGGAUCGGCUAACUCCGUGCCAGCAGCCGCGGUAAUACGGAGGAUCCGAGCGUUAUCCGGAUUUAUUGGGUUUAAAGGGAGCGUAGGUGGACUGGUAAGUCAGUUGUGAAAGUUUGCGGCUCAACCGUAAAAUUGCAGUUGAUACUGUCAGUCU
rnacentral:rRNA from 1 species